rnacentral:rRNA from 1 species
GAUGAACGCUGGGGGCGUGCCUAAUACAUGCAAGUCGAGCGAACAGACUAGGAGCUUGCUCCUCUGACGUUAGCGGCGGACGGGUGAGUAACACGUGGAUAACCUACCUAUAAGACUGGGAUAACUUCGGGAAACCGGAGCUAAUACCGUAUAACAUGUUGAACCGCAUGGUUCAACAGUGAAAGACGGUCUUGCUGUCACUUAUAGAUGUAUCCGCGCCGCAUUAGCUAGUUGGUAAGGUAACGGCUUACCAAGGCAACGAUGCGUAGCCGACCUGAGAGGGUGAUCGGCCACACUGGAACUGAGACACGGUCCAGACUCCUACGGGAGGCAGCAGUAGGGAAUCUUCCGCAAUGGGCGAAAGACUGACGGAGCAACGCCGCGUGAGUGAAGAAGGUCUUCGGAUCGUAAAACUCUGUUAUUAGGGAAGAACAAAUGUGUAAGUAACUAUGCACGUCUUGACGGUACCUAAUCAGAAAGCCACGGCUAACUACGUG